UAAGGAAUAUUGGUCAAUGGACGCAAGUCUGAACCAGCCAUGCCGCGUGAAGGAUGAAGGUCCUCUGGAUUGUAAACUUCUUUUAUCUGGGACGAAAACGGGAUUUUUGUCUCAAUUGACGGUACCAGAGGAAUAAGCACCGGCUAACUCCGUGCCAGCAGCCGCGGUAAUACGGAGGGUGCGAGCGUUAUCCGGAUUUACUGGGUUUAAAGGGUGCGUAGGUGGGCUUAUAAGUCAGUGGUGAAAUCUCCGAGCUUAACUCGGAAACUGCCGUUGAUACUAUAGGUCUUGAAUUAUCUGGAGGUAAGCGGAAUAUGUCAUGUAGCGGUGAAAUGCUUAGAUAUGACAUAGAACACCAAUUGCGAAGGCAGCUUGCUAAGCUGUAACUGACGCUGAGGCACGAAAGCGUGGGGAGCAAACA
rnacentral:rRNA from 1 species